AUCAAGCUUCGAGUUUUCAUAAAGCUUGUGCCAUUGAGCAGCUCUUGGUUCACCAGAAUAGAUGGGAUUGGAAUUUGGUCGCAAGCUUGGAAACCUCUUCCAAGCCCAUUGCUGCAUAAUUUGAAAUGGCUUAUCAUUGUUUCUAAUAAAAAAAAGGUGGCAUUGAAUUUACAAAGUUAUUGGCUUGGCCCAAGUAAAAAAAUAAUCUUGGUAAAAAUUAGUGAUGGUAUCAUUUUGAAUUAAAAACUAAUCCUUAUGGAUACGUAUCAUUAUUCAUUAAGUCUGUUUGAUUCAGGCUAGUAAAUUGAUUUACUGGUAAAACAGGUGGAAUAAAGAAAAGAUUAGAGAGGAAGGAAGAAAAACACGAACGAACCGGUUCUAAAUUCUUUUCUUAACUUUUGCUAAAUUACUAUUCUAUCCACUAAAAAUUAUUUCGAGAAACAGAUUUUCCAAUCAAACAGACCCUAAAAUUGACAAUCAUCAUAUUUUGCUAAACUACCAUUUUUUUAUAUAUCCUAGUUUUUUGUUCAAUUUAAUAUUUUGAGCAUUUGAGAUAGUGAUAUUAGUAAAAAUUUCGAUUACUGGCGAAAAUAACAUACCCCCACUAAUAUUGAUCCGAUCUGACUAGGUCCAUAUCCAUUUCUAAUAUCUAGGUUAAAAUUGUCAUAUUGGAUUUAGAUACAACCUGACAAAGAAAAAUGACAAAUUUUGCUGACAAUUUAUUCACCAACACUGAUUUAAGAGCAUUUUGAACGAUGUAUGAAAGAAUAUAUUAACCAAAUUUGUAAUUAAAUAGGAUAUAUGUAGAUCUACUAAAAAAAACCAAAUCUAUCUCAGAUCAAGAAUGUAGUAUAGCAAAAUUUUGUGAACUUAGAAAUAAAAUAAAACUAAAUAUGAAAUUAAAAAAAUUCUUUAAAUAAAAGGCUUACCUACGAUAGAAUUGGGAUCAGACCUGUGACCUCAAAGCCUUUUAACAUAAAAUAGCUAAGCUCACACCGGCCUCCAUAGAUUCAGACCGAGAACUAAGAGAUGAAGAACGAAAUUAGACAAAAAAAACUAGAAAAUGAUGAAUGAUUCACUAAACAUUUUGAUCUUAAGAAAAUGUUGAACAUAGCCUAUUACACCAAUUAUUUACUUGUGACGAUAUAUCAUUAAUACAUCCUUAUCUAAACACGUCAUCGAAUAAUUAUUUUUUAUGGCAAAUCCUGUAAAAGUUUCUACGGAAUAAUGAACA
rnacentral:lncRNA from 1 species